CAUUUCCGAUCUGCUUGGUCUCUCUCACACUCUCUCUCUCUCUCUCUCUCUCUCUCUCUCAUCAAAGCAAUGGCUACUGUGGCAGCAGCAGCAGCUCGUAGAGCCGCAGCUCUAACGCGACUCUCAUCUCCUCAAACGUCGUCGCCUCAUCUCAUUCACCGCCGUGGCCUCGCCGGCGCCGCUGAUACCCAUGGUCCACCAAGGGUUAACAUCUGGCAAGACCCAUUGAGCCCAUCUAAGUGGAAGGAAGAGCAUUUUGUAAUUGCCUCUCUGUCUGGCUGGGGCCUGCUUUUCUUUUCCGGGUACAAAUUAUUUUCGGGCGGCAAGGACAAGAAGGAAGAGAAAGUGGUGGAAGCAUCACACUGAGUGUUGGAGCUUGUAACUGUUACAGAAUUUCCUGGCAAUAAGUUGUGGGCUUGGACUUCACAUAUUUUGACUUUUCAUUUUAUUGGUUGGCAAACAUUUCUGUUGGCUAUUUUAUGAUCAAUUCAUGGAGAUUGAUCCUGUGAUAAAAUUUAGUGGUUAAUUGCUCUUGUCGGAAUACAAUCAGCACUUUUCA